rnacentral:tRNA from 1 species
GUCUGGGUGGCUCAGUCGGUUGAGCAUCUGACUUCAACUCAGGUCAUGAUCUCACAGUCUGUGGGUUCAAGCCCCACAUCAGGCU